CCUUUCUUAUGUUUACUACAAACGCUUCAGUUAUAGAAUGUUUACUGUGUAUAACACAAUUAUAUACAACUUUCAUCAACGGAUCUCUUGGCUCUCGCAUCGAUGAAGAACGCAGCGAAAUGCGAUAAGUAAUGUGAAUUGCAGAAUUCAGUGAAUCAUCAAAUCUUUGAACGCACCUUGCACUCCUUGGUAUUCCGAGGAGUAUGCCUGUUUGAGUCUCAUGGAAUUCUCAACCCCUAAAUUUUGUAAUGAAGUUUAUUGGGCUUGGACUUGGAGGUUGUGUCGGCUGUUAUUCGACUCCUCUGAAAUACAUUAGCGUGAAUCUUACGGAUCGCCUUCAGUGUGAUAAUUAUCUGCGCUGUGGUGUUGAAGUAUUUAUUAAUUCGUGCUUAUAAUCGUCUCUUACCGAGACAAUUUAUGACAAUCUGAGCUCAAAUCAGGUAGGACUACCCGCUGAACUUAAGCAUAUC
rnacentral:rRNA from 1 species